AAUCAACGCUGGCGGCGUGCCUCAGACAUGCAAGUCGAACGCGAAAGUUCCCUUCGGGGAGCAAGUAGAGUGGCGCACGGGUGAGUAACACGUAGGUAAUUUGCCUUCGGGUGGGGAAUAACAGUCGGAAACGACUGCUAAUACCGCAUAAUGCAGCGGCUCGACAUCGAGACAGUUAGUUAAAGCGGGGGAGUCCUUCGGGACCUCGCGCCUGAAGAGAAGCCUGCGGCAGAUUAGCUAGUUGGUGAGGUAAUGGCCCACCAAGGCUACGAUCUGUAACCGGCCUGAGAGGGGCGGUCGGUCACACUGACACUGACAUACGGGUCAGACUCC
rnacentral:rRNA from 1 species